rnacentral:rRNA from 1 species
GACGGAAGGUGCAAGCGUUGCUCGGAAUUACUGGGCGUAAAGCGCGCGUAGGCGGCUGGAUAAGUCGAUUGUGAAAGCCCCGGGCUCAACCUGGGAAUUGCAGUCGAGACUGUUCGGCUAGAGUGUGGGAGAGGGUGGUGGAAUUCCACGUGUAGCGGUGAAAUGCGUAGAGAUGUGGAGGAACACCAGUGGCGAAGGCGACUCUUUGGCCUGUAACUGACGCUGAGGCGCGAAAGCGUGGGGAGCAAACAGG